rnacentral:rRNA from 4 species
AGAGUUUGAUCCUGGCUCAGGACGAACGCUGGCGGCGUGCCUAAUACAUGCAAGUAGAACGCUGAAGAGAGGAGCUUGCUCUUCUUGGAUGAGUUGCGAACGGGUGAGUAACGCGUAGGUAACCUGCCUUGUAGCGGGGGAUAACUAUUGGAAACGAUAGCUAAUACCGCAUAACAAUGGAUGACCCAUGUCAUUUAUUUGAAAGGGGCAAAUGCUCCACUACAAGAUGGACCUGCGUUGUAUUAGCUAGUAGGUGAGGUAACGGCUCACCUAGGCGACGAUACAUAGCCGACCUGAGAGGGUGAUCGGCCACACUGGGACUGAGACACGGCCCAGACUCCUACGGGAGGCAGCAGUAGGGAAUCUUCGGCAAUGGGGGCAACCCUGACCGAGCAACGCCGCGUGAGUGAAGAAGGUUUUCGGAUCGUAAAGCUCUGUUGUAAGUCAAGAACGAGUGUGAGAGUGGAAAGUUCACACUGUGACGGUAGCUUACCAGAAAGGGACGGCUAACUACGUGCCAGCAGCCGCGGUAAUACGUAGGUCCCGAGCGUUGUCCGGAUUUAUUGGGCGUAAAGCGAGCGCAGGCGGUUUGAUAAGUCUGAAGUUAAAGGCUGUGGCUCAACCAUAGUUCGCUUUGGAAACUGUCAAACUUGAGUGCAGAAGGGGAGAGUGGAAUUCCAUGUGUAGCGGUGAAAUGCGUAGAUAUAUGGAGGAACACCGGUGGCGAAAGCGGCUCUCUGGUCUGUAACUGACGCUGAGGCUCGAAAGCGUGGGGAGCGAACAGGAUUAGAUACCCUGGUAGUCCACGCCGUAAACGAUGAGUGCUAGGUGUUGGAUCCUUUCCGGGAUUCAGUGCCGCAGCUAACGCAUUAAGCACUCCGCCUGGGGAGUACGACCGCAAGGUUGAAACUCAAAGGAAUUGACGGGGGCCCGCACAAGCGGUGGAGCAUGUGGUUUAAUUCGAAGCAACGCGAAGAACCUUACCAGGUCUUGACAUCCCGAUGCUAUUUCUAGAGAUAGAAAGUUACUUCGGUACAUCGGUGACAGGUGGUGCAUGGUUGUCGUCAGCUCGUGUCGUGAGAUGUUGGGUUAAGUCCCGCAACGAGCGCAACCCCUAUUGUUAGUUGCCAUCAUUCAGUUGGGCACUCUAGCGAGACUGCCGGUAAUAAACCGGAGGAAGGUGGGGAUGACGUCAAAUCAUCAUGCCCCUUAUGACCUGGGCUACACACGUGCUACAAUGGUUGGUACAACGAGUUGCGAGUCGGUGACGGCAAGCUAAUCUCUUAAAGCCAAUCUCAGUUCGGAUUGUAGGCUGCAACUCGCCUACAUGAAGUCGGAAUCGCUAGUAAUCGCGGAUCAGCACGCCGCGGUGAAUACGUUCCCGGGCCUUGUACACACCGCCCGUCACACCACGAGAGUUUGUAACACCCGAAGUCGGUGAGGUAACCUUUUGGAGCCAGCCGCCUAAGGUGGGAUAGAUGAUUGGGGUGAAGUCGUAACAAGGUAGCCGUAUCGGAAGGUGCGGCUG